rnacentral:lncRNA from 1 species
CUGUUUUUGACAAUAGCAAAUCACAUGAAGAUAACUAUUUUUCUGUACCAUUUCUAUUAAAAAAAUCUGUACUUGCAGAUAAAAAGGUUAUUUUAAAUUUACGGUCUUUUAAGCUGAGCCACAGAUGGUUAUCCACGCUGAGCAAUACCAAUUAACAAACAUCUCAAUCUUCUCACCUCAUUUUUUCUAGUUCUAAUCUCUAUGUAUAUGCCUUCUGUUUCAUAUGGCCAAUCCUUAAUCUCUUCGAAUCACUGGGUUCAAGUUAUCAAAUUUCUUGAUUUGGGUUCUUUGGCCAAGAUAACCUUUUUCUUUCCUAGCUUGUUCAAUCCAUUUCUUGAUUGAAAAUUCAUCCGGGCGGUGGGGCUUUUGACAGAUCACUCUAAUGAGUCCUGUGGGUGAGUUCCAUUUAUUAAUAAAAAAAAUUCCAUUUUCACUCUUUUUUUUUUUUUUUUCAUGGAUUUUGUAUACUUCAUUAAAUAAUAAAUAUCGAAAGUGAGAGAUGAAGUAUCUUAAAUUCUGUGGUAAUUUGUAAUUUCACUACCCUAUGGAUCCAAUUUAUUAAAACUGUUUUUACAUGGUUAUAGCUUGAAAAAAUUAAUUCCAAAAUGUUUAUGUAUGAGUUUAAUGGCAUUAUUUCAUCACAUAUAAUCGUUUAUUUGUGGGUUCUACAAAUUCCAGAAUUCCCUGUCUGUAAAAUUGUUGGCAUAUGUGGAUUCUUAUGCAUGUAGAUGACUACUUCGAACUGAAUUUAUGUUAUGAUACUUGGUUCUGUAUAUGACAAAACUUCACAGCAUUCCGAGCAAAAACUGUUGUUGCUGUGUAAUAGUGCCCAAAAAUAUAAAUACGAAGCCUUGUUCUUAAUGAGUUAGGCUACAUGAAUCAAUUUUCACCAUUCUUUUGGCCGACUGCUAGAUUUAGGACCUGUUUGGCGAAGCUUCCUACUUUCAUUUCUGCAUCUUGUAGAAAAGUUUGUUGAAUAAGCUUAAUUAGUGUCUAGAAACUAAUUUCUAAAAAAGAUUGAUCUUCCAUAAGAGCUUUUAGAGAAUUAACUAGAUGGGUCCAAAAACUCAUUUUGGAUCUCAAAAGUCAUGCCAAUGGGCCCCUUUAUUCAAAGAUUCAAAGCUUUUAGAUAGUGCAUACACAAAGGAAAGGGAAAAAUGAUCAUUGGUCUAUUGUAGUUUCUAUGGCUUCUUCCAUUGUCUUUCAUUUCAUGUACUUCCAACAUUGAAUGGAAGUUAUUGUAUUUGUGUAAUUUCUUGUUUUUCCCCCAGCAGUUGAUGCAUCAAAACUUUUUAUCCAGGGGAUACUAUUCUCUAGCCUGGUUUCUGUUGAGGUUAUUUCAUAUUUGCUAGAACCUCUUCCAUAUCAUGUGCUCACAAGUUUCAUAUAUAAUUUUGUGUUUAUAUUGUUUGGGAAUUCGUACCCCAACACCGAAAGCACAUCAAGCACAACACAAUAUUAAAGUGCAAGAAAAUAAAAGAACACAAGAAUGGUCACUGAGUUCGGCCUAAAAGGCCUAAUCUGGGGGGCUCAGGUCAGCCCAAUCCACUAGUGCAAAAACCACCUCCCAGAAAGAGUUCAAUACAACCAAACACUUCACCUUACCAGAUUGAUCAUCGAUCUACAAGAUCUCACAAAGAAUCUGGACUUUCUACACAACAUAUUAAUCUGACCGAAAAAUAUAUUCCUACAGUAUACAACCACACAACCGGAAUAACCUAUGGUUACUAGCUUACAAAAGCAACAAGAUUUUAUCAUAAAAAAUACACUUCUAUCACAGAAGGAAUUUCGAUUAGAAGAAGAAACCAAGAUGAAGAUUUCUUGAAGUUUUAGAGAGAGAGAAAAUGUGAUUGAAACAAAACUCCAAAAUGCAACCAGUGAAGUGACCCGUUUUCAGCCAAAAACGUGACUUGAAGAGUCACUUUUAAUUCAAAGUAAGAUCUCAACCAUUGGUUUAAUCCAAUGACCCUUAUAAUUUCCAAACAAACACAGAUCCGGGUCACGUCCAAUGCUCCAAUCAGUAGCUGCCAUUUGAAGUCUUAACAAAUUUCCGAAAAUACCCUCAAUUUAAAACACAACUUUAGAAACACGUUUUUCUCCUUUCAAUCUUCACCUUGUUUCUCAAGUUGUACACAUCCUCUCAGUUGCGGAAUUUUGCACUUAUAGUGGAAAGGCUGAACAACAUCAUUGCCUUAGGUACCUGCAAAGAAAAAUUACCCAGUAUCAAUGUUGAGAAGUGACAAACACAUUCUAAACUUACUCACAGGCAGAAUUUUUGUGCCCAUAUCAGAUGGGUUAAUGUCAGUAUGAAUUUUAUCUAACAUCAUUUCACCUAAAGAUAGUUUCUCUCUUAUGAAAUGAUAUUUCACCUCAAUAUGCUUGGACCUUUCAUGAUAGACAGGGUUCUUGCUUAACAAUAAUGCACUCUGACUAUCAAUAAGAAUAAUAGGUGAUGAAAAAAGAAAAUUCAGUUCACUUAAAAUUCCUUUCAGCCAUAUACAUUCUUUAACACAUUCAGUAAUUGCCACAUAUUCAGCUUCAGUACUGGAUAAAGUGACAGUUGGUUGAAGUUGAAACUUCCAUGUGAUACAAUUAUCACCAAGUGUAAAGAAAAAAGAUGUGGUAGAUUUUCUUUGAUCCUUGUUUCCAGCAAAAUCAGAAUCCACGUACCCUUUAAGGGUUAAUGGUUCUGAUCCCUUUUUGUACACUAAUCCUACACUUAGUGUCCCAGCUAUAUACCGUAAUAGCCAUUUUAAGCCAGCCUAAUGUGGUUUUCCCGAGUUUGCCAUAAACCUACUUAAAAAACUGAUUGAAUAUGCUAGAUCAGGUCGUGUUGUUAUCAUAGAAAACAUUACUAAUCCUAUUGCAUUGGAGUAAGGGAUAUUUUCCAUGUCUUUGGCCUCAGAUUCAGUUUUAGGACAUUGGGUUGAGGAGAGAUUCAUGUGAGCAGCAAGUGGAACAUUAACAGACUUAGCUUCUUUCAUGCCAAACUUAGAUACAACUUUAUGUAGGUAAAACUCUUGGGUUAUUAUUAACCUGUCUUCUUGUCUAUUCCUAGUUAUCACCAUUCCCAGUAUUUUCUUGGCAUUCCCUAAGUCUUUCAUGUCAAAUUCAAAUUUUAGGAGGUUCCUCAUUCUUUUUAUUUCAGCCUUGCUUGAACUGGCUAGCAGCAUAUCAUCUACAUACAAGAGUAGAUAUAUCUCGCUGCCAGGUUUGGAGUUAUAGUAAUAUAAGCAAUGAUCAUACUCACUUCUCCUAAAACCAAUUUUCACAACAUGUGUCAAACCGAAUGUACCACUGUCUUGGACUUUGUUUGAGUCCAUACAGUGAUUUCUGCAAUUUACAAACAUGAUCAGAUUUCUCCUUUUCCUCGAAACCUUGAGGUUGACACAUAUAGAUGUCCUCAUCCAAUUCCCCAUGCAAGAAUGUUGUUUUGACAUCUAAUUGUUCAAGUUCCCAAUUAAACUGAACAACUAGAGCAAGUAUUAGCCUUAUUGUCUUAUAUUUGAUUACAGGUGAACAAAUUUCAUUGUAAUCAAUUCCCUCCCUUUGGGUGAACCCUUUGGCCACUAAUCUUGCCUUAUACCUCAAAGGGUCAUUGGGGGACAUGCCUUCUUUUAGUUUGUAAAUCCACUUGCAUUGAACCACUCUCUGUUUUUUAGGUUUCUUCACAAGUUUCCAUGUUUUAUUAUCAUUCAGGGAUUUCAUUUCUUCCCUCAUGGCAUCUUUCCAAUUCUGAGAUUUAGAACAACUUAUAGCUUCAUCAUAAGUAUAAGGUUCAGCAUGUUCUAAGUUCUCACCAGUGAUAAGGGCAAAGUCUGUCAGAUUAUUAGUCUCAUAUCUUGGAUUAGGUUUAAUCUGUUUCCUUUCCCUAUCUCUCACUAAUUCAUAAUCUUGGGUACUAGUUUCAUUUUCAGGUGUCACAAUUUCAGUUUCAGUUUGGGCUGUUAUAACUUCACCUUCGCUUGUGUCGUCUGAUCUUACAUUUGGCUGUUCAUUUUUAGGUUCAGUUAUCUCAAUAGAAUUGUGACCCAAUCUUGCCAACUUUACCUCAUUCUGUGAAGUACUAUUUUCAAUUGCAUCCUGUUUAUCCCUUUUACUUUUUAAGCAUGGCAUCUCAGAUUCAUUAAACACUACAUUUCUACUGUUAAUGAUCUUAAUGCCUUUCUCACCUAGUACCCAUAACCUGUACCCUUUAACUCCUUCAGGGUACUCCAACAUGACACAUUUGGUGGCUCUAGGAUCUAAUUUGCCUCCAACUUGAUGUGCAUAUGUAGCGCAUCCAAAGACCCUAAUAUUAGACAGAUUAGGUGUUUUUCCAGUCCACAAUUCCUGAGGGGUCUUCAACUUUACAGAACUGCGUGGUGACCUAUUAAUUAGAUAGGCUGCAGUGCAUAAAGCUUCUGCCCAAAAACCUUUUGCUAUACCAGAACUUAUUAGCAUGCAUCUAACUUUAUUCAUUAGAGUUCUGUUCAUUCUUUCAGCUACCCCAUUCUAUUGGGGUGUGUGCUUAACAGUUCUAUGCCUAAUUAUUCCCUUUUGCCUGCAAAAGUUAUCAAAUUCUGCAUUACAGAAUUCCAACCCAUUAUCUGUCCUUAAGGUUUUUAAUUUUCUGCCCAAUUGAUUUUCAACCGUCGUUAACCAAAUUCUGAAUUUUUGAAAUGUUUCAGAUUUUGUCUUUAAGGGGUAUGUCCAGACCUUUCUAGAAUAAUCAUCAAUUAUAGAAAGAAAAUAUUUAUUCCCACCAAAGGUUGAGUGGCUUUCUGGACCCCACAAAUUUGAGUGGACAUAAUCUAAAGGUCUAUUUGUAGUGUGUGACCCCGUCUCAAAACUGACUCUAUGAGAUUUUCCAAGUACACACGUCUCACAAAAGUCAAGGGGCUCUAUAUUAUCUUUUCCAAACAAUUUUUGAUCAUUUAGAUAUUCUAGCCCCUUAUUUCCAAUAUGUCCCAUUCUACAAUGCCACAAUUCAGAUUUACUUUCAGUAAUGGUUAAGGAUUUUGGAUCAUGGGAAUUAACAGUCUUACCCAUUAGGUAGUACAAACCAUUCCUCUUUAGUCCCUUCAUAACUACAAGAGAUCAUUUGAGAAAUUUCAAAGUAUUAUUUUCAGAUUUAAAAGUGUGUCCCUCAUCUUCAAGAAUUCCUAGUGAAAUGAGAUUUCUUUUUAGAUUUGGGACAUGUCUUACAUUUUUAAUCUGCCUGACACUACCAUCAUACAUUUUGAUUGUAAUGUCACCGAUUCCAAGAACAUUUUGUGAAUUAUUAUCACCCAUAUAUACUUUCCUGGGUUCUAUCUCCUUGUAGUUAUGAAACCAAGUUUUAUUUGGGCACAUAUGAAUUGUACAUCCAGAGUCAAGUAUCCAGUCAGUGUCUGCUUCAUCGUUAGACACAGUCAUAACAAGAAGGCUGUCAAGUUCUGAACUUACAGCAGCAUUAUUCAACUCAUUGUUAUUAGGUUCUUUUAACUUCUUCUUUAAUUCGAAGCAAUCCCUUUUGAAGUGUCCAAGUUUUCCACAGUGAUAGCAUUUUUUAUUACUUUUAUCCCUUGACUUGGACCUACCUCUUGAUUUAGAUUUGAACCUCUUAUUCAACGAAUGGUUCUCUCUUUUAUCAGUUCUCCCUCUCACAAACAGGUUCUCCUCUCUAGGGUUAAUUCUUGUUUCCUUCUUAACCUCCAGCUCCCUAGAUCUUAGGGCAUUUGUCACAAUUGUUUGUGUUAAGGUAUCUCUCGAAUAUUUUAUUGCAUUUCGGAUAUCUUUAUAAGAUUCGGGUAGUGAAUUUAGAAGGAUCACAGCCAGAUCUUCAUCCUCAAAUUUCUUAUCGUUAUGUGAAAGACUCUUGACAAGAAUGCUAAAGUCACUGAGAUUAGAUUCUAAGUCUUUUCCAGGAUCCAUUUUGAAGCUAUACAAUUUUUCCAACAGGUAGAUCUUAUUAGGCAGUGUUUUAGUUAAGAACAAAGUAUCUAGGGCUUCCCACAGGGCUCGAGCAGUUUUAUGUUCUUCAACUUAUCUCACUAUGUUAUCAGACAAGUGUAGUAUAAUUGAACUAUAUGCUAUUUCAUUCAUAUCUUCAAUUUCAGUAGGCUUAGCUUUCAAUUCAUCAGGAAACUUUUCAGGAUCAUCAAGGGCUUUUGCAACCCUUUGUGGACCAAAAUGGCCCUCAUUUUCUGUUUCCAUAUAGAGUAAUUACCCUUUCCAUCGAAUUGACUUAAUUCGACCUUCGAACCCAUUGCGGGUUCUGUAAAAGGAUUGUUACUCAAGGACAUAAGUGAUUUAAUUCAAGAAAUCACUUAAGUUACAGAAAAAGUUUUUGAAAUUUUUUUUUCCAGAUAAUUGACAAGUAAGCUGACCUGAAAAUAAGCAGACAAUAAUCCAAUAUAUACUGAUAAAAAACACAAUAACUAAAAAAGGAUCAAUUUCAGAUUUCCAAAAAUCUGGUACCAAUCAAUAAGAUUCCAGAAAAAAUGAAAUUUCCUAAAAAAGUUUUCCUAUCACAAUUAAACACAAUAUUCAGUUUCUUUGAAUGAUACAAUCACAAUAACAUGCUUGAAAUCAGAUUCAACAUUUAUAUCAGGCAAAGGACAACAGUGUUUAAUUGUUAAAGAUCUCACCAAAAUACUGUGUAAUACAAUAUUUAAACAACGCAGUUUCGGUUUCUGCAGAUAGGGGUUCGAAACCCUAGCUUCCAAGAAUCACUAUAUUUCACUUUCAAAUCACUGCACAAGUGAAGUAAAGAUGUUAAUACGAUAAGAGAUUAAACUGUAUCCAAAUAUACCUUACCUCACGGCCUUGUAGGCUCUGAUACCAGAUUUGUUAGGGAAUUCGUACCCCAACACCGAAAGCACAUCAAGCACAACACAAUAUUAAAGUGCAAGAAAAUAAAAGAACACAAGAAUGGUCACCCAGUUCGGCCUAAAAGGCCUAAUCUGGGGGGUUCAGGUCAGCCCAAUCCACUAGUGCAAAAACUACCUCCCAGAAAGAGUUCAAUACAACCAAACACUUCACCUUACCAGAUUGAUCAUCGAUCUACAAGAUCUCACAAAGAAUCUGGACUUUCUACACAACAUAUUAAUCUGACCGAAAAAUAUAUUCCUACAGUAUACAACCACACAACCGGAAUAACCUAUGGUUACUGUAGCUUACAAAAUCAACAAGAUUUUAUCAUCAAAAAUACACUUCUAUCACAGAAGGAAUUUCGAUUAGAAGAAGAAACCAAGAUGAAGAUUUCUUGAAGUUUUAGAGAGAGAGAAAACGUGACUGAAACAAAACUCCAAAAUGCAGCCAGUGAAGUGACCCGUUUUCAGCCAAAAACGUGACUUGAAGAGUCACUUUUAAUUCAAAGUAAGAUCUCAACCAUUGGUUUAAUCCAAUGGCCCUCAUAGUUUCCAAACAAACACAGAUCUGGGUCACGUCCAAUGCUCCAAUCAGUAGCUGCCAUUUGAAGUCUUAACAAAUUUCCGAAAAUACCCUCAAUUUAAAACACAACUUUAGAAACACGUUUUUCUCCUUUCAUAUACGUAUUAUAUUUUCAUAUUCGCUUGUUGAGGCUACAUUCACCAUGGCUUAACAUAGAUGGAAAGCUUGCUUUACUAUCUAAGGUUCACCAGGUGCGACUAAGAAUGUACAGCCCCUUGAAAUCUCAGGCUGCUUGCUACUUUGAAGGCAAAAUGGCCAGGAUGCGGUCGACAUCUUUAUGUAUGUGACAGGAAUAAUUUUUCCAAGCCAACAAGACAAAACUGCUGCUAAACUCUUCAUUCCAUCCAGGCUACUCCUUCAAUCUUUUCUAAAUCAGACACUUCUUUUAAUAUAUUUCCCUUUCCACUUGAAAACUUCUUGGGGAAAUUUUACUUAAAAGAGUGCUGGAGUGGAUUUGAAGAAUUGCAUUUUUUUUACUCUUGCUCUUUCUGGUCGAUUAAUUUAUGUGUUCUGAUUGCUUGUUCAUGUAAUAAGUUACUAUAACUCUAGAAAUCGUCCUUGUAAUUUCAUAAUCAUUUUAAGAAUUUCUCUUUUUCCUUGACUCAUGCAUCAUUUGAUUUCUGGCUUUCUUGUGUGGCAAAAAUUGUUGGGAAUCUACUUAUACAUGCACAGCGAAAAAUUAAAAUUAUUUCGAUUUCCAUCGAGGAUCCCUUUGUGUUUAGAUAAAAAUCGAGAUAAAGAUUGUACCUUUG